rnacentral:rRNA from 1 species
AUUGAACGCUGGCGGCAGGCUUAACACAUGCAAGUCGAGCGGGGUGAUGGUGCUUGCACUAUCACUUAGCGGCGGACGGGUGAGUAAUGCUUAGGAAUCUGCCUAUUAGUGGGGGACAACAUCUCGAAUGGGAUGCUAAUACCGCAUACGUCCUACGGGAGAAAGCAGGGGCUCACUUGUGACCUUGCGCUAAUAGAUGAGCCUAGGUCGGAUUAGCUAGUUGGUGGGGGAAAGGCCUACCAAGGCGACGAUCUGUAGCGGGUCUGAGAGGAUGAUCCGCCACACGGGGACUGAGACACGGCCCAGACUCCUACGGGAGGCAGCAGUGGGGAAUAUUGGACAAUGGGGGGAACCCUGAUCCAGCCAUGCCGCGUGUGUGAAGAAGGCCUUACGGUUGUAAAGCACUUUAAGCGAGGAGGAGGCUCUUUUGGUUAAUACCCAAGAUGAGUGGACGUUACUCGCAGAAUAAGCACCGGCUAACUCUGUGCCAGCCGCCGCAGUAA